GAGCGAUAAGGAACAGCUGUUAGGCUACCCGUAAUCACUGAUGGCUGUGUUUUACCCACUGUAGAACUCAGAAUGAGAAAUAUGAAGAUUGCAGAAGUGCUGUUGUUUGCAAUGGCUGCAUUGCACUGUGGGAUAACAGAAGACAUAGACUUUAUUAUAGGUAACUGUAAUGGUAUCGUCAGACUUCGUUGUACAGCUACUGAUCGCACAACAACUUACCGUUACGUCAUGUGGUAUAAAUCAGAUAAUAUUCCCAUCAUCAAGAGGAAAAACCAUGAAUAUACAUAUAACUUGACCAAUGUUUCUCUGGAAGAUAAAGAAACCCUGGUGUUAAAUAAUGUGCAACCUUCAGACUCUGGACAAUAUAAAUGCUACCUGGCUGCAGAGGUUGGAGGUCAAAAUGACUAUUCUUUUAUUGAAUUGAAUAUCUCAGAAUGCUUGGAUGUGAGCACAGUUUAUCCCAUCACCACCACGAUCCCUGCUGAUUCCUGUCCUGCUGUAGAAGAAUUAACUGUUCCCUGGACUGUGAUUGGCCUUUCUCUUAUUAGUGUCACCAAAGUCAUUCUUUGCAUUGUAACUGUGGGGGUGUGUGAUCGAGUCAUAUUUAGAACAGUAAGAAGAAAUCAGGAAGUAAGGGGAAGCAAGACUGGAAGGUCAAGCUGGAAAGACUGAGAUUCACAAAAAGCUGAUGGGGUCAUUUUAGUUUUACGCAUCCAUUAGCCAAGUUAAAACAGUCCAAGCCUGUAAACAUUUACAAGGUUGUUCACACCAUUAGGUGUGUUGAUAGGAUCCGUUUUAUUUCUGUGUGGUUUUGCUAUUCUUAAUGACUUUUUAUGGAUGGCUUAUUCCUAGGGGAGGAAGGACGGGCUGUAAUGGGAGCUGUUUUAUAGCUGUUGAGGGAGACAAGAGUCAUGGAGGGUUGCAAUUCAUUAGAUUCAGCAAUUCAGCUGCACACUGUUGCCUUUUGUUUGUUUUUACAUNNNNNNNNNNNNNNNNUUUUUUUUUUUUUUUUUUUCCCCCCCCCCCCCCCCCCCCCCAUAUGUUAUAAUUGUAUAUCCUCUAUAAAUAUUUUUUUACUGUCUGUAUCACAUUUAUGUACUUUAUGAAUCUUAAGGUUUAUUACUAGGGCUGCCA
rnacentral:lncRNA from 1 species